UCUGAGCAUGACAAACGCUUGAUAUAUAACUUCGGCCCAAACCUGGUUGCCAAGUUUGGCCCACGACUGGACAGCCACUGGUGAACCAAGAAUUGGUGAACAAUACUAACCCAAGACUGGCAACCAUUAUUGGACCUAGCAUGACAAACGCCUGCCCAAGCCUGGUUGUCAAGCUUGGUCUACAAUUUGACAGCCAAUGCUGAAUUGACACUUAGUGAACAAUACUAAACCAAUAUUGGACCGAACAUGGCGAACGCUUGUUUUAGGUAUACACUUUUUUGAUACAAACCCUUUCUAAAAAGUCACUGUAAUUUCGUCAAUGGUAGUAAUAAGACAGUAUUAUUGCUGGAUAUUAUAAAGAACUCCUUGGGGGAAGACGAAUGGAGGAAAAUUUGUGAAUAUAAGUCAGGAUAAACUCCUUUCUGCUGGCGAUGAGCAAAGCUGGGACAGUCCUGGUAUUGAUCAUGACCUUGA